UACCACAGGUUAAUACACGCUACUGAUCCCUGAUGGGAGAAUCAUCAAUUUUGGCAACAAAGAAGCCUGGUGGAUGUUUGUUUACAGUCUGAUGGUGGGACAUCAUGCUCUGCAUCUUCAAAGUUUGCCUCCUCAUUAUUAUUCAUACCCAGUAAUGUGAAGUAUGCUUAUAUCUACUAUAACUGAACAAACGCGGUGGUCUUCAUUUAUGGAGGCUGUUGAGUCUGAAUGUUGGAUGUUGUGUAUCUCGUGUUCUCUGGGUUUUGUUGUCCUCAGUCUUUUCGCAGGAUCAGAAAACAAAACCAGGAGGUGCGUAAAUGUUUCUUCUCCAUGAUGUUUCUUCAAAUGUUUCUUCUGGAUGAUGACACGGGAUGCCACCUUUGGUCUUGUGAUGAAGCAAAGCUCAGGAAGAAGUGUGAUUAAAUGGUACACACAUGUUGAGAAGGAUGUACAGGGGCACCUGCAGCCAAAUCCAAGCUUCAGAGCAGAGCAGCAGUUUGUGCUCACAGAUGGUGACGGUGUGGAGAGACGGUGGUGUUUCCUCAGAAGAGAGUCACAAAGGACACCAGUCCAUCUCACCACCUUGACUUGCUGACUGAUGUUUGUCUGCACUGCACAGAGUAAAUCAACUGACCGAGGAGUGUUUCUGAGUGAGGGAGAGAGGAGUCAUCAUCCAGUUUAAGUGACGUA